rnacentral:rRNA from 1 species
UACGUAGGGUGCGAGCGUUAAUCGGAAUUACUGGGCGUAAAGCGUGCGCAGGCGGUUUGUUAAGACCGAUGUGAAAUCCCCGGGCUCAACCUGGGAACUGCAUUGGUGACUGGCAAGCUAGAGUAUGGCAGAGGGGGGUAGAAUUCCACGUGUAGCAGUGAAAUGCGUAGAGAUGUGGAGGAACACCAAUGGCGAAGGCAGCCUUCUGGGCCAACACUGACGCUCAUGCACGAAAGCGUGGGGAGCAAACAGG